GAUCAACUCUGUUGAGGUAUUGGGUUGGCCCAAAAGCUCAUUCAGGUUUUUCUGUAAGAUACUAUGGAAAAACCAGAACGAACUUUUUGGUCAACCCAGUACAGCUUACUGCAUAGACAC
rnacentral:precursor_RNA from 8 species